rnacentral:rRNA from 1 species
GUGAGGUGGAGCAAAACUCAAAAACUUGUCUCAGUUCGGAUUNUAGGCUGAAACUCGCCUACAUGAAGCUGGAGUUGCUAGUAAUCGCGAAUCAGCAUGUCGCGGUGAAUACGUUCCCGGGCCUUGUACACACCGCCCGUCACACCAUGAGAGUUGGCAAUACCCAACGUACGUGAUCUAACCCGCAAGGGAGGAAGCGUCCUAAGGUAGGGUCAGCGAUUGGGGUGAAGUCGUAACAAGGUACC